rnacentral:rRNA from 1 species
UACGUAGGGGGCGAGCGUUGUCCGGAUUUAUUGGGCGUAAAGAGCGUGUAGGCGGCUUUACAGGUCCGUUGUGAAAACUCGAGGCUCAACCUCGAGACGCCGGUGGAAACCGUAAAGCUAGAGUCCGGAAGAGGAGAGUGGAAUUCCUGGUGUAGCGGUGAAAUGCGUAGAGAUCAGGAAGAACACCGGUGGCGAAGGCGCUCUGCUAGGCCGCAACUGACACUGAGGGACGAAAGCUAGGGGAGCGAAUGGG